rnacentral:rRNA from 1 species
GACGAACGCUGGCGGCGUGCUUAACACAUGCAAGUCGAACGGAAAGGCCCUGCUUUUGUGGGGUGCUCGAGUGGCGAACGGGUGAGUAACUCGUGAGUAACCUGCCCUUGACUUUGGGAUAACUUCAGGAAACUGGGGCUAAUACCGGAUAGGAGCUCCUGCUGCAUGGUGGGGGUUGGAAAGUUUCGGCGGUUGGGGAUGGACUCGCGGCUUAUCAGCUUGUUGGUGGGGUAGUGGCUUACCAAGGCUUUGACGGGUAGCCGGCCUGAGAGGGUGACCGGCCACAUUGGGACUGAGAUACGGCCCAGACUCCUACGGGAGGCAGCAGUGGGGAAUAUUGCACAAUGGGCGGAAGCCUGAUGCAGCAACGCCGCGUGCGGGAUGACGGCCUUCGGGUUGUAAACCGCUUCCGCCUGUGACGAAGCGUGAGUGACGGUAAUGGGUAAAGAAGCACCGGCUAACUACGUG